UCGCAAGGCUGAAACUCAAAGGAAUUGACGGGGGCCCGCACAAGCGGUGGAGCAUGUGGUUUAAUUCGAUGCAACGCGAAGAACCUUACCAAGGCUCGACAUACUACAGAUUUCUUUGAAAAAGGAAAGUGCCUUCGGGAAUGUAGAUACAGGUGGUGCAUGGCUGUCGUCAGCUCGUGUCGUGAGAUGUUGGGUUAAGUCCCGCAACGAGCGCAACCCUUAUUUUUAGUUGCUAAUUUAGUUUAGGUUUUCUAGAAAGACUGCCGGUGACAAACCGGAGGAAGGUGAGGAUGACGUCAAGUCAGCAUGCCCCUUAUGCCUUGGGCUACACACGUGCUACAAUGGUUAAGACAAAGAGUUGCGAGCUCGUGAGAGUCAGCUAAUCUCAUAAACUUAGCCUAAGUUCGGAUUGUAGGCUGCAACUCGCCUGCAUGAAGUCGGAAUCGCUAGUAAUCGCUGGUCAGCCAUACAGCGGUGAAUCCGUUCCCGGGCCUUGUACACACCGCCCGUCACACCAUGGGAGCUGGUCAUGCCCGAAACCGUUAGCUUAACCUUUAUGGAGAGCGGCGUCUAAGGUAGGGUUAGUGACUGGGGUG
rnacentral:rRNA from 1 species